AACGAACGCUGGCGGCAGGCUUAGCACAUGCAAGUCGAACGAGAUCUUCGGAUCUAGUGCCAGACGGGUGAGGAACACGUGGGAACAUCCCCUUCAGGUCGGAAUAACGUUGGGAAACUAACGCUAAUACCGGAUACGUCCUUCGGGAGAAGGAUUGAUCGCUGAAAGAUUGGCCCGCGUCUGAUUAGCUAGAUGGUGAGGUAACGGCUCACCAAGGCUACGAUCAGUAGCUGAUUUGAGAGGAUGAUCAGCCACACUGGGACUGAGACACGGCCCAAACUCCUACGGGAGGCAGCAGUGGGGAAGAUUGGACAAUGGGCGCAAGCCUGAUCCAGCCAUGCCGCGUGAGUGAUGACGGCCUUCGGGUUGUAAAGCUCUUUGGUCCGGGAAGAUAAUGACUGUACCGGAAGAAUAAGCCCCGGCAAACUUCGUGCCAGCAGCCGCCGUAA
rnacentral:rRNA from 1 species